rnacentral:rRNA from 1 species
GCUCAGAUAUGACGAUGGACAUUGCAAAGAGUGGCGAACGGGUGAGUAACACGUGGGAAACCUACCUCUUAGCAGGGGAUAACAUUUGGAAACAGAUGCUAAUACCGUAUAACAAUAGCAACCGCAUGGUUGCUACUUAAAAGAUGGUUCUGCUAUCACUAAGAGAUGGUCCCGCGGUGCAUUAGUUAGUUGGUGAGGUAAUGGCUCACCAAGACGAUGAUGCAUAGCCGAGUUGAGAGACUGAUCGGCCACAAUGGGACUGAGACACGGCCCAUACUCCUACGGGAGGCAGCAGUAGGGAAUCUUCCACAAUGGGCGAAAGCCUGAUGGAGCAACGCCGCGUGUGUGAUGAAGGGUUUCGGCUCGUAAAACACUGUUGUAAGAGAAGAAUGACAUUGAGAGUAACUGUUCAAUGUGUGACGGUAUCUUACCAGAAAGGAACGGCUAAAUACGUGCCAGCAGCCGCGGUAAUACGUAUGUUCCAAGCGUUAUCCGGAUUUAUUGGGCGUAAAGCGAGCGCAGACGGUUAUUUAAGUCUGAAGUGAAAGCCCUCAGCUCAACUGAGGAAUUGCUUUGGAAACUGGAUGACUUGAGUGCAGUAGAGGAAAGUGGAACUCCAUGUGUAGCGGUGAAAUGCGUAGAUAUAUGGAAGAACACCAGUGGCGAAGGCGGCUUUCUGGACUGUAACUGACGUUGAGGCUCGAAAGUGUGGGUAGCAAACAGGAUUAGAUACCCUGGUAGUCCACACCGUAACGAUGAGUGCUAGGUGUUUGAGGGUUUCCGCCCUUAAGUGCCGCAGCUAACGCAUUAAGCACUCCGCCUGGGGAGUACGACCGCAAGGUUGAACUCAAGGGAAUUGACGGGGACCGCACAAGCGUGGAGCAUGUGGUUUAUUCGAAGCACGCGAAGAACCUUACCAGGUCUUGACAUCCUUGACACUCCGAGAUGGACGUUCCUUCGGGACAAGUGACAGGUGGUGCAG